AGCAGUAGCCACGGUAAUACGAAGGGGGCUAGCGUUGUUCGGAUUUACUGGGCGUAAAGGGCGCGUAGGCGGACUGGUAAGUCAGGGGUGAAAUCCCAAGGCUCAACCUUGGAACUGCCUUUGAUACUGUUUGUCUUGAGUUCGAGAGAGGUAAGUGGAACUGCGAGUGUAGAGGUGAAAUUCGUAGAUAUUCGCAAGAACACCAGUGGCGAAGGCGGCUUACUGGCUCGAAACUGACGCUGAGGCGCGAAAGCGUGGGGAGCAAACAGGAUUAGAUACCCCCGUAGUCCCUGUCUCUUAUAC
rnacentral:rRNA from 1 species